AACGAACGCUGGCGGCAGGCUUAACACAUGCAAGUCGAACGCGUGUAGCAAUACACGAGUGGCGCACGGGUGAGUAACGCGUGGAUAUCUGCCUUUGGUUCGGAAUAACUCCGGGAAACUGGAGCUAAUACCGGAUGGUUCCUACGGGAUAAAGAUUUAUCGCCAAAAGAUGAGUCCGCGUACGAUUAGCUAGUUGGUGAGGUAACGGCUCACCAAGGCGACGAUCGUUAGCUGGUCUGAGAGGACGAUCAGCCACACUGGGACUGAGACACGGCCCAGACUCCUACGGAGGCAGCAGUGGGAAUAUUGGACAAUGGGGGCAACCCUGAUCCAGCCAUGCCGCGUGAGUGAUGAAGGCCUU
rnacentral:rRNA from 1 species